CGUGAUACUGUCACCUCUAGCCAUUUCAGCAGCCUUAUCAACUCACGGUAGAGCAGGUUUAUAUCAACAAGAAUAUACAAUGAGGUCCUGCAUCGUGCUGUUAUGGUUUUGAGUAAGAAGCUUAAGAUGGGUUUUGAAAUUGAGAUAAGAGGAAGGAGAAAGAAACCCUGGAACAUCUGCAGUGGCUUCACUGUCUUUAAAGGGAAAAAACAACACGAGGACGAAACAAUGGACAAUUCGUCUUAGGACAGAUGCAGAUGAACUGGUCAAGGAAUUUAUGUUUGGCACAUACACUGAUGUUAUCUGUUACUAGUAACAAGAGCAUCUGGAGCCUUCCACAUUGGACACACACACACACACACACACACACACACACACACACACACACACACACACACACACACACACACACACACACACACACACACACAAAUACACACAGACACAAAUGUUUUUUGUUUUUUUGUUUUUUUUAAAAAAGCCAAAAAAAAAAAAAAAAACUAUAGCAACCAGAUGAUUUGCUGCCUAGUCUGCAGUGUUGGUUAAAAAAAACAAAACUUGAUAAAAUUAACAGUGGGACGUUUAUCGUGUAAUGUGUAAUAUGUAAUACAUUUAUGUUAAAGGUGAUAGACACCAGUUGUGUAGUCAUGGUUUCAAGUUUAUAGGUAACACAACAUCUCACACACACACACACACACACACACACACACACAUACUGUACAAUCAUUCACACCUAGAGGCAAUUUGGCAUAGUCAAACCACCUACCAACACGUUUUAGGGAAGUGAGAGGAAACUGGAUGACACUGUAAAAGCCCAUGUGAACACAGGGAGAACAUGAGAAAGUGUGUACAGACAGUAACCUGAGCUCGGGAUCCAAAGAGGGGCUGUAAAGAGGUCAGAUUCCCAACAUUCUACGGUAUAGAUUUUACAUCUAUAAAGAAUAUCAUCAGUGAAGUGAAGUGCAUGAAAACUGAUUCACAUUCAUUAGCUAGAUUUAUGGUAGAAGCCACAGAUGGUCUUCAGAGACUGAGCUAAACAUUAUGAAAGCUGGUUGGUGACCUUAACAAAUAUGAGCAAGCGUGAAAAAAAAACUAUGCAGAAGGGAUUCUUGGAACAGCAAACCAGCCAAUUUCCUGCAAAACAGCUCACUGAGGGAACUGAUCAAUGAGGGAAUUUCAAAAGCAUCCUGCGCAGCAGCAUCACUGCCUGGUUACAGAAUUGUACCGUCUCAGACCACAAGACAUUGCAGCGGAUAGUGAGGACAGCAGAGAAGGUCAUUGCAUCCCGCCAUCAUAUCAUUAGCCAUAAGCCUUGCAGAUGACUGAAUGCAGCAAACACACAAACUUUUCACCCUCCUGCACUCUGGAAAAAGUUACAAAAGUAUUCAGCCCUCACAACUAGAAUGUGUAACAGUUUCUUCCCCCAAGCCAUUAAACCCAUUCUGUUCUAAUGUUCUGGGUUUUUUUUUUUUUUUGCCCCACAACCUUGCCUAGCUCAUGUUUUUUUUUUUUUUUUUUUUGAUCGUCUGAUCAAUCCCUGCACCUUGACUUUCUCUCAGGAUUUUUCUAUUUAUUUUGAUUGUCCAUUUUAAUAAAAUCUUGCAUACCAGCUCUUGCAAAAAUACCUGAUCACCUGACAGAGCCAGAACAAAUAGACUGAAAAAUAGCUUCUUUCCCGUGGCUGUUUCUGCACUGAACAGAUGAUAUGUUGUUAACAAUCACCACUGUACUGUCACUUUUAUUCUGUGUUUUGCAUUAUUUUGCACCACUUUAAA